rnacentral:rRNA from 1 species
AUUGAACGCUGGCGGCAGGACUAACACAUGCAAGUCGAGCGGAGCGGCGGACGGGUGAGUAAUGCCUAGGAAUCUGCCUGGUAGUGGGGGAUAACGUCCGGAAACGGGGGCUAAUACCGCAUAAUCACAGAUGAGCCUAGGGAGGAUAAGCUAGUUGGUGGGGUAAAGGCCUACAAAGGCGACGAGCCGUAACUGGUCUGAGAGGAUGAUCAGUCACACUGGAACUGUGACACGGGCCAGACUCCUACGGUAGGCAGCAGUGGGGAAGAUUGGACAAUGGGCGAAAUCCUGAUCCAGCCAUGCCGCGUGUGUGAAGAAGUUCUUCGGAUUGUAAAGCACUUUAAGUUGGGAGGCGUUACCAACAGAAUAAGCACCGGCUAACUUCGUGCCAGCAGCCGCGGUAAUUC